AUAUUAUUGUUGAAUGAAAAAAAAUAAAAAAAGAAGAAGGAUGUGACUACUCUUAAAAUAUGGAAACAAUUUUUAUAUUAUAAAAUACGUAUAAGGGAGAAAGCAGAGAGAGUCCAGGCUGAACAUGGCUGGCAGAAUAAAACAGACCAACAGACAAGAGAUGGGAAAAGCAAGAGCAUAUGACAGGAGACACCAUCCAAGUGAAGAGGCUCAGGCAGAAAACGUUUAGGGAAGGAAUGAGGCAUCCCAUUGUGACAGGAGGGACAUCAAUAAAAACAGAAGAGCAAAACCCAAUGUCAUGCUAAAUAGUCUUUCAUUCUGUUUCAAAUAAACCAAGAGAGGUGUAGGAGCACUGUACUCUGAAGUCUCAAUGUCUUUUAUUGCUUCCCCAAUCAGAAAGUAUGGCCAGCACCUGUAAUUAAAUAUAAAGAAUUUGGUUUUCAGCACUUAUUUGGACAAAAAGAAGAAUAUGAAGGCACUGUUCAAACAAUAUACAUCUACCUCAACAACCAAGGUACAAAUACCAUCAUACUGAACUCAUGGACCCUUGUGGGGAGGCCUGGAGGAAGAACUCAAAGAGCUGAGGAGGAUUGCAAGCCUAUAUGAAAAACUACAUCAGCUGGCCAGACUACCCAGUGCUCCUAUGGACUUGGCCUAUCCAAGGAGUGUACAUGUAUCCAUGGCUCCAGAUACAGCAGUGGAUGACUUUGUCUGCCAUGAGUGGGAGGUUGGCCCUUGGUUCUAUGGAAGUUUGGUGCCUCAGCAUAGGGAAUAUGUUGAGAGGUGGGACAGGAAAGAGUAGGUGAGUGGGGAAGCACCAUCAUAGAAGCAAAGAGGAAGGUGGAGAGAGAGGUUGUGAGUUGGGGGGCAUGUGGAGG
rnacentral:lncRNA from 1 species